GUCACUGUGGCAUAGUGGUUUGAACAUUGGAUUACAACUCUAGAGACCAAGGUUCAAAUCCCAGCUCAGCCA